rnacentral:rRNA from 1 species
GACGUAGGGCGCGAGCGUUGUCCGGAUUUAUUGGGCGUAAAGAGCUCGUAGGCGGCUUGUCGCGUCGACUGUGAAAACUCGGGGCUCAACUCCGAGCUUGCAGUCGAUACGGGCAGGCUAGAGUUCGGUAGGGGAGACUGGAAUUCCUGGUGUAGCGGUGAAAUGCGUAGAGCUCGGGAAGAACAUCGGUGGCGAAAGCGCUCUGCUGGACUGCAACUGACACUCAGGGACGAAAGCUAGGGGAGCGAAUGGG